rnacentral:rRNA from 1 species
UACGUAGGGACCGAGCGUUGUCCGGAAUCAUUGGGCGUAAAGAGCGUGUAGGCGGCCACUUAAGUCCUGCGUGAAAUCUUGCGGCUCAACCGCAAGCGGUCGUGGGAAACUGGGUGGCUAGAGUGCGGGAGAGGAGAGUGGGAUUCCUGGUGUAGCGGUGGAAUGCGCAGAUAUCAGGAAGAACACCCGUGGCGAAGGCGGCUCUCUGGAACGCAACUGACGCUGAGAUGCGAAAGCGUGGGGAGCAAACAGG